GUAACGUUUGUUGAGAUUCUUCUGUGUUCCCCUGUUUAGGGGAGUUAGCUUGGGAUUGGAAGUCUACGCUGGUGACUAAAGACAGCAGUGUCAGAGUGUGUUGUGUUUUCGAACAUUAAUGUGUACGUUGUGGGACAGCAAGGGGUAGAAUUAUUAUUUAAUUAAUAAAUUCACAGUAUUAAAAUG
rnacentral:sRNA from 1 species